UUCCGGUUGAUCCUGCCGGAGCCUACUGCUAUCGGGUUCACACUAAGUCAUGCAAGUCGUACGCCGGACCUGGCCCGCGUGGCGCCCCGCUCAGUAACACGUGGUGAACCUACCCUUCCGCGGGGGAUAACCUCGCGAAAGUGAGGCUAAUCCCCCAUGGNNCUGNNGUACUGGAAUGUUNNUAGGGCUAAAGGCCUAGAAGGCACGGGCCUCUAGACCGCGGAAGGAUGGCACUGCGGCCGAUUAGGUUGUAGGUAGUGUAAAGGACUACCUAGCCGACGAUCGGUACGGGCCGUUAGCGCGGUAGCCCGGAGUGGGCCACUGAAACAGCGGGCCCCGGCCUACGGGCUGCAGCAGGCGGGAAAACUGCACACUCCGCGCAAGCGGGAUGCGGUGAACCCGAGUGAUCUCUUGGAAGAGAUCCUUUCGCCGAUGUAAACAGCCCGGCGAAUAAGGAGAGGGCAAGACUGGUGCCAGCCGCCGCGGUAACACCAGCUCUUCGAGUGGUGGGCGCGCUUACUGGGCCUAAAGCGUGCGUAGCGGGGCCGGUAAGCUCCAUGUAAAAACCCACGGCUUAACCGUGGGCUCGCAUGGGGUACUGCCGGCCUUGGGACCGGGAGAGGUGCGGGGUACUGCCGGCCUAGGGGUGAAAUCCUGUGAUCCGGGGUGGACCACCGGUGGCGAAGGCGUCCGACAGGAACGGGUCCGACGCUGAGGGACGACACCCAGGGGAGCGAACCGGAUUAGAUACCCGGGUAGUCCUGGGCGUAAACGAUGCCCGCUCGGUGUUGCUGCCGGCAUUUUGACCGGCAGCAGUGCCCAAGGGAAGCCGUUAAGCGGGCCGCCGGGGAAGUACGGCCGCAAG
rnacentral:rRNA from 1 species